rnacentral:rRNA from 1 species
UGGGGAAUAUUGCACAAUGGGGGAAACCCUGAUGCAGCGACGCCGCGUGAGUGAAGAAGUAUUUCGGUAUGUAAAGCUCUAUCAGCAGGGAAGAAAAAGGACGGUACCUGACUAAGAAGCCCCGGCUAACUACGUGCCAGCAGCCGCGGUAAUACGUAGGGGGCAAGCGUUAUCCGGAUUUACUGGGUGUAAAGGGAGCGUAGACGGCUGUGCAAGUCUGAAGUGAAAGCCCGCGGCUCAACUGCGGAAUUGCUUUGGAAACUGUAUAGCUUGAGUAUCGGAGGGGUAAGCGGAAUUCCUAGUGUAGCGGUGAAAUGCGUAGAUAUUAGGAGGAACACCGGUGGCGAAGGCGGCUUACUGGACGAUAACUGACGUUGAGGCUCGAAAGCGUGGGGAGCAAACAGGAUUAGAUACCCUGGUAGU